CUUUUUAAAAUAUAGUGUAUGUUUUAGAACAUACAUAUGAUAGUUGAGAAAGACACAUAUUCUGAUCAUGAAGAAAUAAACACAAGUUAAAUAUGACUAAGCAGAAAGAUGGAAGGACCAGGAACAGUGAUGCUAACUUGGAACCACGAUGCAGGCUCUAAUCUCCUCUACAAUCAUCCUCCCUUGUGAGAAAAAUACAUAAGAUCUAAGGCACAUGAGAUGAUACGCUUUCUGUUUGAGUUUCUCCUUUAUGUUACGCAUACUGAUAAAAUUGUUGACGCCAGUUGAUCUGAAGGUCCCAGCAAGGAGCCGACUCACAGAAGAAUGCAGUUUUCACAUCGUGAUGAUUUAAUCUUCCUUGACCUGAGCAAUUGACAACCCCAAUUCUCCAGAACCUCACCCGCCACAAUCCCCUUAAAAACCCUGGUCCAGAACCCCUCAAGCAGACAGAUUUGAAGCUUGAGGAUUCCUUCAUCUCUUUGCCCAAUGGCAUUGUGAUUAUUAAACUCUUUUUCUGCUGCAAAUUA